rnacentral:lncRNA from 1 species
UGGACCCAGCUACGUGAGGAGGAGAGAACCACCCAACUGCAGGGGCCCACACCCUGCAUCCCCCUCUCCACUGAGAUCUUAUUGUCUGCUCUCCUUACUCUUCAAUGUCCAGUAUAUUCUUAUCCUUCUUGGGCAUAGCACAAGAGCUCAGGAACUGCUGAACGUGGGUACAAGAUAUAAGACAGGCAAGUGAGGGCAUGCCAGUGUGGCUGAGUGGGACCUCGGCAGGGCAUCACCAACUGGAGAUCCCCAGCUUGCAAAGUCACCGAAAAGAAAAUCUUGCAUCAUUUUGCCGGCUCCUGUGGGAUACCUGAAGGGACUCCAGGGUAGAUAAGACUCCAUAUCUCGGGACAAGGGAACCCAGAAGCCUGACAUGCUGGAAAAGGACACGAUUGGAGAAACUGGUUGUUUUUACCAAGGCUUUAACUGGAAGGGUAUGCUUCCCUUUAAGGAAUCAAGGUUGACUUGCAGAGCCAAUAAAAGCCCCUUGGGAAUAUUCACCUCAUAUCUUGUCUACACAGUCUCCUUAUAGGUUUCCUAACCUGUGGUGAGUAAAGUAUGUCAAUUUCUAACAGCCCCAGGAGCCCCAUGUUAUCUUGGGACCUCCAGAAGUGUGGAAUUUACCCAACUCACAGAUGUUUGAGGGUAAAAACCCAUGACUGCAUUUGUUUUUAAAAAGUCUUAUGUGAGAUUCCUUAUAGAACAGAGUUUCAUCAAAGCCAAUUUAAAAAGCCUAUGUAAAAAAUAAUUAUUCUUGCUGCACUUUAUGGAAAUUAUCAAG